UCAAAGGGAUUGACGGGGGCCCGCACAAGCGGUGGAGCAUGUGGUUUAAUUCGAAGCGACGCGCAGAACCUUACCACCUCUUGACAUGGGUAUCGCGGUCUCCCGAGAGGGAGUCCUUCAGUUCGGCUGGAUACCACACAGGUGCUGCAUGGCUGUCGUCAGCUCGUGUCGUGAGAUGUUGGGUUAAGUCCCGCAACGAGCGCAACCCUCGCUGCUAGUUGCCAGCAUUCAGUUGGGCACUCUAGUGGAACCGCCGGUGAUAAGCCGGAGGAAGGUGGGGAUGACGUCAAGUCCUCAUGGCCCUUACGAGGUGGGCUACACACGUGCUACAAUGGCGGUGACAGUGGGUUAAUCCCAAAAAACCGUCUCAGCCCGGAUUGGGGUCUGCAACUCGACCCCAUGAAGUCGGAAUCGCUAGUAAUCGCGUAACAGCAUGACGCGGUGAAUACGUUCCCGGGCAUUGUACACACCGCCCGUCACACCAUGUGAGUUGGGUUUACCCGAAGACGGUGCGCCAACAUUCGGGAGUAGCCGGCCACGUAAGCUCAGCGACUGGG
rnacentral:rRNA from 1 species